rnacentral:rRNA from 1 species
GACGAACGCUGGCGGCGUGCUUAACACAUGCAAGUCGAACGGGCCUUGUCCCCUUUUUUUUUGGGGGUGGGGUUAGUGGCGAACGGGUGAGUAACACGUGAGUAACCUGCCCCUCACUUCUGGAUAACCGCUUGAAAGGGUGGCUAAUACGGGGUGUUCUGGCCUGCUCGCAUGGGUGGGUUUGGAAAGAUUCGACCGGGUUUGGUUGUUUUGGUGGGGGGUGGGCUCGCGGCCUAUCAGCUUGUUGGUGGGGUGAUGGCCUGCCAAGGCUUUGACGGGUGGCCGGCCUGAGAGGGUGGGCGGUCCCACUGGGACUGGGACACGGCCCAGACUCCUACGGGAGGCAGCAGUGGGGAAUACUGCACAAUGGGCGCAAGCCUGAUGCAGCGACGCCGCGUGAGGGAUGGAGGCCGUCGGGUUGUGAACCUCUUUCGCCAGUGAAGAAGGUCCUGCUCUUUGUGGUGGGGUUGACGGUAGCUGGGUUAAUGAAGCGCCGGCUAACUACGUG